AAGGUGCGGUAAGAGCGCACCGCAUUUCCGGUAACGGCAAUGGCAAGGUAAACCCCACCGGGAGCAAAACCGAAUAGGGAUGGCAUAUGGGCUGGCUCCGCCCCGUCAUCCGGGUUGGUUGCUGAAGACCGGAAGCAAUUCCGGUUUUAGAUGAAUGGUCGCCUAUCCAGCUUUGCUGGUGGACAGAACCCGGCUUAUAGACCUUCUGGCGUA
rnacentral:RNase_P_RNA from 1 species